GACGAACGCUGGCGGCGUGCUUAACACAUGCAAGUCGAACGAAGAGCGAUGGAAGCUUGCUUCUAUCAAUCUUAGUGGCGAACGGGUGAGUAACGCGUAAUCAACCUGCCCUUCAGAGGGGGACAACAGUUGGAAACGACUGCUAAUACCGCAUACGAUCUGACCUCGGCAUCGAGGAUAGAUGAAAGGUGGCCUCUACAUGUAAGCUAUCACUGAAGGAGGGGAUUGCGUCUGAUUAGCUAGUUCGAGGGGUAACGGCCCACCAAGGCGAUGAUCAGUAGCCGGUCUGAGAGGAUGAACGGCCACAUUGGGACUGAGACACGGCCCAGACUCCUACGGGAGGCAGCAGUGGGGAAUCUUCCGCAAUGGACGAAAGUCUGACGGAACAACGCCGCGUGAGUGAUGACGGCCUUCGGGUUGUAAAGCUCUGUUAAUCGGGACGAAAGGCCUUUUUGCGAAUAGUGAGAAGGAUUGACGGUACCGGAAUAGAAAGCCACGGCUAACUACGUG
rnacentral:rRNA from 1 species